rnacentral:rRNA from 1 species
ACGCUCGACACCUAGAGGCAGCAGUGGGGAAUAUUGGGCAAUGGGCGCAAGCCUGACCCAGCAACGCCGCGUGAAGGAAGAAGGCUUUCGGGUUGUAAACUUCUUUUGUCAGGGAACAGUAGAAGAGGGUACCUGACGAAUAAGCCACGGCUAACUACGUGUCAGCAGCCGCGGUAAUCUGAGCGGGCUGGCAAGGC